GUGUCAGCAGCCGCGGUAAGACGAACCGUGCGAACGUUAUUCGGAAUCAUUGGGCUUAAAGGGCGCGUAGGCGGGUCGGUACGUCGGUCGCUGAAAUCCCCCGGCUUAACCGGGGACGUGGCACCGAUACGGCCGACCUGGAGGCGAGGAGGGGGACCUGGAACGUCCGGUGGAGCGGUGAAAUGCGUUGAGAUCGGACGGAACGCCGACGGCGAAAGCAAGGUCCUGGACUCGUACUGACGCUGAGGCGCGAAAGCCAGGGGAGCGAACGGGAUUAGAAACCCCCGUAGUCC
rnacentral:rRNA from 1 species